CGGGGUGUAGCGCAGAUGGUAGCGCACCGGCAUGGGGGGCCGGUGGUCACCGGUUCGAGUCCGGUCACCCCGACCA
rnacentral:tRNA from 3 species